CGGUUCUGGCAUCGAUGAAGAACGCAGCGAAAUGCGAUAAGUAAUGUGAAUUGCAGAAUUCAGUGAAUCAUCGAAUCUUUGAACGCACAUUGCGCCCGCUAGUAUUCUGGCGGGCAUGCCUGUCUGAGCGUCAUUUCAACCCUCAAGCAACUUCUGCUUGGUGUUGGGGAUCGGCCUUUAAACGCCGUCCCCUAAACCUAUUGGCGAUCUCGCUGUAGCUUCCUAUGCGUAGUAGUAAUAUCUCGCAUGUGGAGAGCGGCGCGGUCAUGCCGUAAAACACCCAACUUUUCAGGUUGACCUCGGAUCAGGUAGGAAUACCCGCUGA
rnacentral:misc_RNA from 1 species